rnacentral:misc_RNA from 1 species
CAGGCAGGCGUGCCCUCGGCCUAAUGGCUUCGGGCGCAACUUGCGUUCAAAGACUCGAUGGUUCACGGGAUUCUGCAAUUCACACCAAGUAUCGCAUUUCGCUGCGUUCUUCAUCGAUGCUGGGAAUGUC